GUGACAUUCUUCAGGCUGUGUCUCACCAACUUUCUUGGGAAGAGUUAGAAGCAGACCUGGCUCUGCAAAGCGGAUUGGAAGGAAGCCCAAAGGCAUCCGUCAGUUCCUGAGUGCCAGGCUUCACUGUUGGAGGACUUUGUCACAGCAGCAGAACGCUAAUUCACACUCUGACAAUGUAUCAGUUAAAAAGUAAAGGAUAAAUCACAUGCUUCAGUAAUGAAAAAUCUAAGAGUGAAGACGAAGAAAAAGCAAAAGGAGGACAGAGAAGAGAUGGGAAAAGAACUACAUUUAUGACCCAUAUUUCCUUCACCUUGUCUGCCAGGAGUCAAAGAUUUCAUCAUGUUUCUUGGAAAUUUAUGUGCUCACAUAGUGUUCUGGAGUUCUGCCAACUCUGGUAGAGGUCAAGAGAUGGAAAAAAAGGACAUCAAGGGGAGAGUCAGGAUGUGGCUGCCUGUCCUUAUCUGCCCAAGUGACCUUACACAGGAGGAAAAUGGACUUUUGAAGUAAAUCUUUGCCUGAAGCAACCAGAAGCCCUCCACUUCACCUUUAGUAACAAAAAGGAAUGUACUGAUGGGAACUGUCUCAGAAUGAAAAAAGUCACUGAAUACACAAUACUCAAAAUUAAAGGAGGAAAAGUUCAUUUUGGCUCACAGUUUAUAGAGGUUUCAGUCCAUAGUCAGCUGGCUCCAAGGCAGAGCAGUAUGACAGAGGAGAAACAUUAAUGGCAAAGCAGGAGAGGCAGGAGGAAGCAAAGCAGUGAAGCAGCAAGUGAUGGGAGCAACCUCUUCCUGUCUGUUCUGUUCAAUCCAAUACUCCCCGUCAAGAUGAGUAGCACUCACACUGAGAGUGGGCCACCCUUAAUCCCAACAUCACAGCAUCACACACUUAAUCCCAGCAUCACACACCUUUGACCCAGCCACCUCCAUAAAGCCCCACCUAUGACUGCAUGAGGCCAGCUACAAGCCACAACAGGAAUAGACACAGAAACUUGAGUUCGAGAAUCUUGAAUUGAAUCUAAAAUUGCCUUCUUGUGUGACCACGGCCAAAUCAUUCCCUUGUCGGUUUCCUUACAAAUGAAAC
ensembl:lincRNA